rnacentral:rRNA from 1 species
AUUGAACGCUAGCGGCAUGCCUUACACAUGCAAGUCGAACGGCAGGCACGGGGGCAACCCUGGUGGCGAGUGGCGAACGGGUGAGUAAUGCAUCGGAACGUGCCCAUCGAUGGGGGAUAACUGCGCGAAAGCGUUGCUAAUACCGCAUACGACCUACGGGUGAAAGCAGGGGACCGCAAGGCCUUGCGUCGAUGGAGCGGCCGAUGCCGGAUUAGCUAGUUGGUGAGGUAAAGGCUCACCAAGGCGACGAUCCCGUAGCUGGUCUGAGAGGACGACCAGCCACACUGGGACUGAGACACGGCCCAGACUCCUACGGGAGGCAGCAGUGGGGAAUCUUGGACAAUGGGCGAAAGCCUGAUCCAGCAAUGCCGCGUGUGGGAAGAAGGCCCUCGGGUUGUAAACCACUUUUGGCGGGAAAGAAAUGGUCUGUGCUAAUACCACGGAUUGAUGACGGUACCCGCAGAAUAAGCACCGGCUAACUACGUG